rnacentral:rRNA from 1 species
AGGUCCGCCUGCCAGUGACUUGUUCACGGCCUAGGUACCCUACCCGCGCAAAGGUAGCAUAAUAACUUGUUCUUUAAAUAAGGACCUGUAUCAACGGCAUCACGAGAGCUGAACUGUCUCCCCUCUCUAAUCAGUGAACCUGAUCUCUUCGUGAAAAAGCGAAGAUGAUAAUACAAGACGAGAAGACCCCAUGGAGCUUAAGACUACACAACACACUUUUUAUUCUAGCCCUUAAAAAUAAGGGACCUGUUGGCUAGUCUUUGGCUGGGGCAUCCAAGGAGUAAAAUAAAACCUCCCUAACAAAACAUCUUAGAGCUACAACUCCAAGGGACAGCAAACUGAUGUAAAUGACCCGAUUUUCGAUCAAUGAACCAAGUUACCCUGGGGAUAACAGCGCAAUCCAUUUUGAAAGCCCCUAUCGACAAAUGGGUUUACGACCUCGAUGUUGGAUCANGGUAUCCCAGUGGUGCAGCCGCUACUAAAGGUUCGUUUGUUCAACGAUUAAAACCCUACGUGAUCUGAGUUUCAACCGGA